rnacentral:rRNA from 1 species
AAAUUGAAGAGUUUGAUCAUGGCUCAGAUUGAACGCUGGCGGCAGGCCUAACACAUGCAAGUCGAACGGUAACAGGAAACAGCUUGCUGUUUCGCUGACGAGUGGCGGACGGGUGAGUAAUGUCUGGGAAACUGCCUGAUGGAGGGGGAUAACUACUGGAAACGGUAGCUAAUACCGCAUAACGUCGCAAGACCAAAGAGGGGGACCUUAGGGCCUCUUGCCAUCGGAUGUGCCCAGAUGGGAUUAGCUAGUAGGUGGGGUAAAGGCUCACCUAGGCGACGAUCCCUAGCUGGUCUGAGAGGAUGACCAGCCACACUGGAACUGAGACACGGUCCAGACUCCUACGGGAGGCAGCAGUGGGGAAUAUUGCACAAUGGGCGCAAGCCUGAUG